UGCCACCCGUGGCAUGCGUGCCAUAGGUUUACCAUCAUGGCCAUAGAAGAUUUGUGGAGGUGUGGGGAAGGGAAGGCUGUUUCACCAGUGGUAUCUGUUCUAUUGCAGAUGUGAUGGUGGAAGAGAAGGAUUCUGUAGAUACCCUUUUUUAUCAUACCCUCAUCAAAUGCCUGGAAAUAGAAAAAGAAAUGCACUAUCUUGUUCCAUUUGGUACAGAAAAUAUGAUAAUAGAGAGAUGAGAUGAAGCUUAAUAGGAAGUAUAUCAUGUGGGGAGGAGCUAUAUUUAGUUACAGAUCAAGGUGUUCCAUACUGUAAGAGAAAUGACUGCUAUAUCCUGAGCAACUGAAGCAAUGCAAUUUGAAUACCACACCAAGCAGCCGAGAUGGUACUUAUGGGGGCUUCAGGAAUUUUCACUGCUUGAACUAUACAGAAACUUGGUAUGAGACAGAGGUGAGAUCUUCUUCCUACUUGCUGACAUAUGCCUUCUUGACAGCAAUAACUUGACACGGAGAAGCUAAAAUAAGAGGAAACCACUCAUUUCAUUCAUCAAGUGAUGAAAUGUAUAUCCCAUUCCCAACAAUUUUAGGAACUCAAAGCACACCUGACACAUGGCCAUCCAGCCUCUGUUUAAAGACCUCCAAGGAAGGAGACUCCACUACACUCUGAGGGAGUGUGUUCCACUGUUCUUAGGCUAGAUCAGUGUGUAUUAAAUCCAUCAUCAGAUGAGUUGAACUAUCAUUGUCCUCAGACUGAACAACUGGAGAAGGCUGCAAUAUGUUCUUUGAGAACACAGACAUUAUCUUUUCAAAUGCUGCCACUGAAUGGUGAGUGGGUUGAGGAGACAGCAUUGUCUGAUGCUAUAACACUGCUAUUACAGAGAAGCACAAGCUAGUGAUCAUCUUCCACCAUCUACUAUAGGUCUCAAAGUGGCCUACCACACUCAAUGCUUUAUAGCAUUAAGAGCUACAAGCACUUCUUGAAGGCCUUUUGAAGUAAAAUGGGAUAUGUGCCUUACUUAACAGAGGACAGCCCUCUAUUUGAAGGCCUGUCAGGACAGAUCUCUAUCUGAAGGUGUUCUCUGUUUCAAAGUCUAUCCAAUCCAAAUUUAUUUAGAUAUAAAAAAGGAGAGGUAAAGAGUGAUAUCAAGAAAGAAACAACUUGUCAACUGUUUCUAGAGUUCACAAAUUCUCUCUCUCUCUCUCUCUCUCUCUCUCUCUAUAUAUAUAUAUAUAUAUAUAUAGGCAUUGUUAGAUAUAAAGAACAACAUGGAUCUUGAAACAGCAUGUCAACAGUUAGCUUCUGAACAGUAAACAUGUCAUCUGUGGGGAACAUGGCUCUUUUUCACUGUGAUGGGACACACUUAUAUGAGAAUAAUUAUUUCUACAUUUGGAUCAAUACUUAUAAAUUAAUAUUCAAAGUCCAUACCAUUUGUUAGUUCUCUUUUUUCUUUUUCUUUUAGUGUUGUAUUUCCUCUUUUCCAGUGAUGCAUAAGUGAUCACUGUGCUUCAAACUACUGCCAGCAAAUAUCAGAGAGCCAUUUUCCUUACUUAUCUACCAUGAUCUUUCCUUGCUGGUCCUGACACAGGCACAUAGAGGCAUCAAAGCUCUGGCACUUGCCCUUGCUUCAAACCAAUGGACAAAUUCAGCUCUGACUACUAUACUAAUGGUAUUUUUUUAAAAAAAAAAAUAACAUUAGUGUGGAACUAAAUUGUACAUUAAUUUAGUGCAUUAGUAUAGUAGAUAAGUGUGCAAAGCUUUAUCCCCCCUUUCUUCUACCAUUUGUUACUUACUUGGAAGCAACACAAAAGAAUACAUGACUGAUUAAAUCCCAAAUGUUGUUUUGUGACUAGGACUGGCUUGGAUAAAUUUGUAUUCAGUUGUAACUAGAUUAUUUGAAGUUUUAAAAGAGAAAGCAGUCACUUAGGACCAUGUCAUGCUAAUGUUGCACAUUUUUUUAUCCAUAGAUUAAUUUUCUUCAACAGGAUUAUGCUUGGUGGGUAGGAUUUGUCUUCUAAUACCUUAAAGAAAACAUAUCUUUGGUUGCUGCUGUGUUCUUUUAAGUAUAUCACUGGGUAGAUUUGUUUCAACAAAGCAUUCAUAUUGUAGGAGGCUUUGAAAUACAAUGAAAGAGACAAACAUAUUUGGUGUGUCAGGCUGUAUAUGCUAAAUCAAAAUUAAUGGAAACAGACAAAUGAGCAGGGAAUUAUUAUGAUCAAUUAAAGAGAUGCAUUAAUAACAAGACAAAAAGCUAACACAAAGACUAUUUUUGAAUGUUUGAGAAAGGUGGAAAAUAGAAUAGGGAUGUCUGAGGAAAGUAGUAAUUGCAAAUUUUUAUAGGAACUUAUCAGGGGAAAAAGUUAUUCACCAGAUUUCAAACAUAUCUAAAUGUUUUGAUGCCAGUCGUGCAUAUUUUAGCCUAUUAAAAUAUUAUUUUUAAAAUUAGUUUUUAGGAAACAUUUACAUAAGGAUUAAAGAAUAUGCUAAACUACAAAUUUCAAGAACAUUUUUAAAAAAUAAAUAAAAUUAAUGCAGAACUAAAGGGAAUGUAACCUUUUUAAAAAUUAUCCCUUAAAUGGAAGAAAAGUGAGUUACAGUCAGGCCUUUGUAUCUACAGAUUCUACAUCCACAGAUUCAACCAUCCAUGGCUUGAAAAUAUUUUUUUAAACAAAAUCCAAAAAGCAUUUGCUUUCUAUAUUUUUUAAAGGUAAUUCUAACUUGAAACAUAGGAAACUGAUCAUUUUUCUUAUUACUGCUGCCAAAUUAGAAGUAGCCACAUGUGGGAAGUCAAAUGACCUCUCCAUUGAGAACUGGUGGUCUAAAAUUUGGAGUAUAUGGUUGAUGGAGAAAUUGUCUGCUACAAUGAAGUUUUGUAUUGGCCACAAAUGGACGGACACGUUUCAAGAAAACUGGCUGAUCUUUAUUGACCAUGUUAAUCUGAUCUUUAUUGACCAUGUUAAUCAUCACUCACACUGGAUCCAACCCUGGGUUAUGAACCCCUAACUGCUAUGCAAAAUGUUGGCCAUUUUUAAAACUGCUGUUUGUUUUUUAUAUUUGUUCCUGUAAGCCACUCAAAAAUGUUUCACUUAUGGACUUGCAUACAAGUGUAGCAAAUGAAUAAAUAAAAGACAUUUUGAA